GUAGAACUGAAGUGUAUCUAAUGUCGUCAGUGUGCUAACAUCCAAAACAACACGUCUCACGGAUGCCUUCCACCGAUUAUCUUCUGGACUCACAUCAAUCCAUAAAUUUUUUAACUCGGUUAGAUUUAGUAUAAACCCAUCAGGAAUCAUAUUUGUUUGCUGAUUGAAACUCAGGGGUUCACGAAAUGACACUUUCAAGGAUGUGAGAUUCUUUAAUCGUUCAACUUCUUUUGGUAGUGCUAUGAUCUGUGUCCCUUCAAG
rnacentral:misc_RNA from 1 species